AUUGAACGCUGGCGGCAUGCCUUACACAUGCAAGUCGAACGGCAGCAUGAUCUCGCUUGCUAGAUUGAUGGCGAGUGGCGAACGGGUGAGUAAUACAUCGGAACGUGCCCUGUAGUGGGGGAUAACUAGUCGAAAGAUUAGCUAAUACCGCAUACGACCUGAGGGUGAAAGUGGGGGACCGCAAGGCCUCAUGCUAUAGGAGCGGCCGAUGUCUGAUUAGCUAGUUGGUGAGGUAAAGGCUCACCAAGGCGACGAUCAGUAGCUGGUCUGAGAGGACGAUCAGCCACACUGGGACUGAGACACGGCCCAGACUCCUACGGGAGGCAGCAGUGGGGAAUUUUGGACAAUGGGCGAAAGCCUGAUCCAGCAAUGCCGCGUGUGUGAAGAAGGCCUUCGGGUUGUAAAGCACUUUUGUCCGGAAAGAAAUGGCUCUGGUUAAUACCUGGGGUAGAUGGCGGUACCGGAAGAAUAAGGACCGGCUAACUACGUG
rnacentral:rRNA from 1 species